rnacentral:ncRNA from 1 species
UUUACGGAGAGUUUGAUCCUGGCUCAGGACGAACGCUGGCGGCGUGCCUAACACAUGCAAGUCGAACGGAGAUAUUUUGAAGUUUACUUUAGGAUAUCUUAGUGGCGGACGGGUGAGUAACGCGUGGGUAACCUACCCAUAAGGCCGGGACAACUCCUGGAAACGGGGGCUAAUACCGGAUAAUCUUUCCGAGGGACAUCUCUUGGGAAGGAAAGGCGGCCUCUGAAGAUGCUGCCGUUUAUGGAUGGACCCGCGUCUGAUUAGCUAGUUGGUGGGGUAAUGGCCUACCAAGGCGACGAUCAGUAGCCGGCCUGAGAGGGUGAACGGCCACACUGGGACUGAGACACGGCCCAGACUCCUACGGGAGGCAGCAGUGGGGAAUCUUCCGCAAUGGACGAAAGUCUGACGGAGCAA